AACGAACGCUGGGCGGCAGGCCUAACACAUGCAAGUCAAACGGCCUUCGGGGCAGUGGCGCACGGGUGCGUAACACGUGGGAAUUUACACUUCGGGUAAGGAAUAACACAGAGAAAUUUGUGCUAAUACCUUAUAAUGACUCCGGUCCAAAGAUUUAUCGCCGAGGGAUAAGCCCGCGCCUGAUUAGGUAGUUGGUGAGGUAAGAGCUCACCAAGCCGACGAUCAGUAGCUGGUUUUAGAGGAUGAUCAGCCACACUGGUACUGAGACACGGACCAG
rnacentral:rRNA from 1 species